UGGGGAAUAUUGGACAAUGGGCGCAAGCCUGAUCCAGCCAUGCCGCGUGAGUGACGAAGGUCUUCGGAUUGUAAAACUCUUUUGGCGGGGACGAUAAUGACGGUACCCGCAGAAUAAGCCCCGGCUAACUUCGUGCCAGCAGCCGCGGUAAUACGAAGGGGGCUAGCGUUGUUCGGAAUCACUGGGCGUAAAGCGCACGUAGGCGGAUGUGCCAGUCAGGGGUGAAAUCCCGGAGCUCAACUCCGGAACUGCCUCUGAUACUGCACGUCUUGAGUUCGAGAGAGGUGGGUGGAAUUCCUAGUGUAGAGGUGAAAUUCGUAGAUAUUAGGAAGAACACCGGUGGCGAAGGCGGCCCACUGGCUCGAUACUGACGCUGAGGUGCGAAAGCGUGGGGAGCAAACAGGAUUAGAUACCCUAGUAGUCCCUGAGCGGGCUGGCAAGGCGCAU
rnacentral:rRNA from 1 species